UACGUAGGGCGCGAGCGUUGUCCGGAAUUAUUGGGCGUAAAGAGCUCGUAGGCGGCUUGUCGCGUCGGUUGUGAAAGCCCGGGGCUUAACUCCGGGUCUGCAGUCGAUACGGGCAGGCUAGAGUUCGGUAGGGGAGAUCGGAAUUCCUGGUGUAGCGGUGAAAUGCGCAGAUAUCGGGAGGAACACCGGUGGCGAAGGCGGUUCUCUGGGCCUUACCUGACGCUGAGGAGCGAAAGCGUGGGGAGCGAACAGG
rnacentral:rRNA from 1 species